UACUCGUAAUGGGACUGCCGGUGACGAGCCGGAGGAAGGUGGGGAGUGACGUCAAGUCAGCAUGGCCUUUAUGUCCAGGGCCACACACGUGCUACAAUGGACGGUACAGAGGGACGCAAGACCGCAAGGUGGAGCAAAUCCUCAAAACCGUUCUCAGUUCGGAUUGCAGGCUGCAAUUCGCCUGCAUGAAGCUGGAAUUGCUAGUAAUCGCAGAUCAGCUACGCUGCGGUGAAUACGUUCUCGGGCCUU
rnacentral:rRNA from 1 species